UCAAGUCAAAUGUCUGAAGGGGUAUGUGACUGUAAAAAGUUUGGGAACCACUGUAGUUGUGUAAUGGGGAAUGGGAAAUGCAAAGGUCCUACAGUCUUUGGUCCCAUUAACGCAUCACCAGCGGGAGGGGUGCACAGCUGGGCUAAUUAGCUUGUUUCCAAAAGUGUGUAGUUCGCUAUUGCCGUGGUCGCCUGUGCUGCCUUGUUUGGGGGAAUGAAAUGACGAGAAGAAGUACCAGCAAUUUGAUAAACGUAAUGGAGGGCAAGCAUGUGAUGUGCUGAUUUUGGAGCCGGAGACUGGCCAAAGAUGAUCCUGAUCAUCAUCUGGAUCCAGGUACUGACUACCCAUGUAGGAGCAGGCGAACGUAGCAACAAUCGUCACCAGGAAGUUGAAAACGGUCACAACCACGGCUUUUGCUGAUCGCACUGUGCACAAUCAAAAAUCACUUGAAUUACAGAUAAGCGGUACAGAUUAAAUGACAAUGUUACAUUUCUACAGCACACUAACCUUCCCGACCAAAAUCUGCCAGUGUUCCAUUUCGGUUCAUUUCCUGAAGAUCAGUGAAAAGAUGGUCAUGACAUGUAUUCUUUUGCAAAGUAUAGGGGGUGAUGCAAAUACAUGAACACAAAAUUAUACAAUUACAUUAUUUUUCAUUUUUAUGAUUUACCCAACCCAUUGCAAAGUCUGUAUACCAGGGGUGUCGGAAGUGCGGCUCAAUAAAAGCAACAUUUGCACAAAAUAGCAUUUACCUGAUUGUUUACAUUACGUGUCAUCUUGUUGUAUUCUUCAUUUGCUAGCCUGGCUUUAAUGCGAUCCAAGCGUGCGACCAGCUCAGGGUUCUGGAAUAAAAAAAGGAGUUAUUUUCUCUAGCAGAGUACACAAUAUACUUAUUAAAUUGUACUGUUGCACGCAUGCAUGCUCCUUCACAAUUCACCCCAUCAAUAUGUAUGCUAAUUACAUUAUUUCAACUACUACAGGAGUGGCUGGGCAGUCAACGUCCCCAUAUAUUGACAGUAUAAUUCAAUAAACUUUAUGCAACUUACUCUGGGGGGCUUGACAAUCUCAGGUAGAUGCAGUGAACUAUCCUCCAAUAAUUCAUGCAAAUAAAAAGGAUGCCCUGAACAAAAAAAAUAGAAAUAUACAAUAUGACUUCAUGCAGGUAACAGAUUCGUGUAUUUUAUUGCAUUGAAUUGCAGAAUGUAAGAGUAGCUCCAGAAAUAUAAUUAUGUAUGAAAAACAAAUACAAACUAAUACAUUUACCUUGAUCCUUUAGAUACGUCUUUAAUUGUCUCGCUAUGCUGAAAGGCAGCGUUGUUUGUCCUGUCUUUUCUAACAUAAUACUCAGUUUCUGUCUCAAUGCUUCAGGCAGUGAAGAGUCCGGCUUUUCCAACAGUUCUGUCACACGAAUCUUGAACUGAUCUCCGACGACGAAGGCGGACGCCAUAACUUCCUCAAACGCCGGCUGAAUAGGCUACCGAUCUUUUAUAAAAUACAACAUAUAGACAGUUAAUAACGACCUCUGCCAGCGGAAGUACAAAAAAUGGUCGAACGGCUAAAACAGUGUGACGUCACUCGAUAUGGCUGUCUUCUUCGUUUUUUUUAUGUUGGCAUACAUCACGUGGUGCAUUAUCGCCCCCUUUCAGUAGUGUCUUGGCUGCAUUUACACCAUGAUUGUCCACACUAAGUUACGAUUAAACGACCCUGACAAUUUCCUUUGAUGCGUCCUUUCACUCGUGUUCAGUAAUCAUUUGAGUUAUUUCUGUCACACUCUGAGUUUGGCCGUUGUUACUGGUUGUUUGUAUUCGCUUUUGUGCUAUACUUCUGGUUUUAUUCGCUUAUUUUUGUAUUACUUCCGGGUUUGCCGUGUUGCUUUUUGUGUUCUGACGCACUUAGUAUUUAGUUCAACCAGCGCGCAUGCGUAGUGUUACAGUUCUUUGUAGUCAGAUCCUUUCCCUGCUCUGCUACAAUUAAAAAUAAACAUUUUCUUCUAUCCCCAAUCUUAUCAGUUCCGACCUCAUCACCUCCCUUUAUCCCAAAGUGUCAAACACAUGCGACACAUUAUGUGUCAACUUUGUUAAACACAUGGUGAGAAUGAAUUCAUAGACAUGGAGACGUUGUAGAACGGACUUUGAUAUUUGUGACGACUUGCUAAGACGGUCCAAAACAAACUAUGACCAAAGAUGGCCGCCAAAGUACGCAUGCGCAGUGUGUGUCAGUUCCGGUGACAGUUGUGGUCCUACACUGCAGAAAAUAAUGAAGUAAAUCAUUUUGUGUUAUGUUGUUUAUCCCGUGACAAAUCACGCGUUCAAUUGUGUAAAUAUAUUUUAUAAUACGCGUAAAUGUAAAACAUGUAUUACGUAUUCCUUGCCUCAGUCCACGUGAAUGUUCGAUGCCUUCAAUGUUCCCCGUAAAAGUUUUUACACUCAAGGUGCUUUCGCCAAAAACAAAAAAUCCAAACUCGAGUAAGUCACCCAACACACCAACAACAAAAUAUACAGGCCAUUUUGCAUAUAAUAUUCAAUUUAGCUCACAAAUGGAGAAUUUAGCAUGAUACAUAAUCGCAUGGCAUGUUGUCUGACUAUAGGAUUAAUUAAAAAGUACGACAAAGGGCUCGAC